rnacentral:rRNA from 1 species
CUGCUAAUACCGCAUAAGCCCACGGCCCGGCAUCGGGCAGCGGGAAAAGGAUUUAUUCGCUUCAGGAUGGACUCGCGUCCAAUUAGCUAGUUGGUGAGGUAACGGCCCACCAAGGCGACGAUUGGUAGCCGGACUGAGAGGUUGAACGGCCACAUUGGGACUGAGACACGGCCCAGACUCCUACGGGAGGCAGCAGUGGGGGAUAUUGCACAAUGGGGGAAACCCUGAUGCAGCGACGCCGCGUGGAGGAAGAAGGUUUUCGGAUUGUAAACUCCUGUCGUUAGGGACGAAUUAUGACGGUACCUAACAAGAAAGCACCGGCUAACUACGUGCCAGCAGCCGCGGUAAAACGUAGGGUGCAAGCGUUGUCCGGAAUUACUGGGUGUAAAGGGAGCGCAGGCGGACCGGCAAGUUGGAAGUGAAAUCUAUGGGCUCAACCCAUAAAUUGCUUUCAAAACUGCUGGCCUUGAGUAGUGCAGAGGUAGGUGGAAUCCCCGGUGUAGCGGUGGAAUGCGUAGAUAUCGGG